rnacentral:rRNA from 1 species
UACGUAGGGUGCAAGCGUUGUCCGGAAUUAUUGGGCGUAAAGAGCUCGUAGGCGGCUUGUCACGUCGGGUGUGAAAGCCCGGGGCUUAACCCCGGGUCUGCAUUCGAUACGGGCUGGCUAGAGUGCGGUAGGGGGAGAUCGGAAUUCCUGGUGUAGCGGUGAAAUGCGCAGAUAUCAGGAGGAACACCGGUGGCGAAGGCGGGUCUCUGGGCCGAUACUGACGCUGAGGAGCGAAAGCGUGGGGAGCGAACAGG